UUAAAAGAGAAACCCUCCCCAGGGAGGAAAAGAGGGAAGCCACCUGUAGCCCAUCCCUACUGAUGGUUCUUUUGAGCAGCCUGAGAAAGCUGUGCCUGCAGGAUUACAGAGCAGAGCCAGGAGGAGCUUGGAAGAGGGAGUGUUUGUGCUUUUGUAAGGAAUCGUGAAAUGAAGUAGCAUCCUGUUCAGCAGCUCUCCUUUAUGAAUUUGAGGAACAUACUGAGCACCUAAAGAAUCCAAGGCUAGCUUGUAUAGACUAAACAACAAACAAAUGGGAGCUGGAGACUGUGCCUUCCUACCCACCCAACAUGACCACCCAACAUGGCCAGUGACAGAUGUACAGUGGUUUGAGCACACGAGGGUCACAGCAAUGGGAAUCUGGACACCUCAUCACUGCUUCAGUUCACAGCUGCUCAAAGAAGGAAGGAGGCAUCCAGGAGAAGACACAAUGAAGCAUGCCUGGAGAGACAGACAAGAAAUUGCGAUAGAAGAACCAGAUAUUUCCACUCCUACUUGCUGCUUCCUAGCUAUCCUCCAACACCACAUCUUGCAAGGAGGGUGCUGCUCCGUGUGAACUGAGGCUGUGUCUACACUAACUGGUACCACCUUUCUCUAUUCCAUAUUCUGACGAUAAUUAAUAUAUUUAACAUGCGUGUACUCUUGGACCAAGGAAAAC
rnacentral:lncRNA from 1 species